GGCAGGCCUAACACAUGCAAGUCAAGCGGUAACAUUUUCUAGCUUGCUAGAAGAUGACGAGCGGCGGACGGGUGAGUAACGCGUAGAAAUCUACCUAUAGGUGGGGGAUAGCCCAGAGAAAUUUGGAUUAAUACCGCAUACGCCCGUACGGGGAAAGCGGGGGGAUCUUCGGACCUCGUGCUAUUAGAUGAGUCUGCGUCGGAUUAGCUUGUUGGUGAGGUAAUGGCUCACCAAGGCGACGAUCCGUAGCUGGUCUGAGAGGAUGACCAGCCACACUGGAACUGAGACACGGUCCAGACUCCUACGGGAGGCAGCAGUGGGGAAUAUUGCACAAUGGGCGCAAGCCUGAUGCAGCCAUGCCGCGUGUGUGAAGAAGGCCUUAGGGUUGUAAAGCACUUUCAGCAGUGAGGAAAGGGGUGUCGUUAAUAGCGCCAUCCUGUGACGUUAACUGCAGAAGAAGGACCGGCUAACUCCGUG
rnacentral:rRNA from 1 species